rnacentral:piRNA from 1 species
GUAGUGAUGAGUAAGGGAUAAGCGG